GCCAUGCAUGUCUAAGUAUAAACGAUUUAAUCGUGAAACCGCGAAUGGCUCAUUAUAACAGCUAUAAUUUACUUGAUCUUGACACAAUCCUACUUGGAUAACUGUGGUAAUUCUAGAGCUAAUACAUGCAUUAAAGCUCUGACCUCACGGGAAGAGUGCAUUUAUUAGAACAAAACCAAGCGGCUUCGGCUGUUUCUGGUUGACUCAUAGUAACUGAGCUGAUCGCAUGGUCUUGCACCGGCGACGUGUCUUUCAAGUAUCUGCCGUAUCAACUUUCGAUGGUAGUGUAUCUGACUACCAUGGUGAUCACGCGUAACGGAGAAUAAGGGUUCGGCUCCGGAGAGUUCGCCUGAGAAAUCGCGAACACAUCUAAGGAAGGCAGCAGGCGCGAAAAUUACCCACUCUCAGCACGAGGAGGUAGUGACGAAAAAUAACGAGACCGUUCUCUUAUGAGGCCGGUCAUCGGAAUGGGUACAAUUUAAACCCUAAACGAG
rnacentral:rRNA from 1 species